rnacentral:rRNA from 1 species
GGUGAUCAAGUCACGGCACAGUAUGGUCUCCGUCGUAUCAGAUUGUAGUGUGUUUAAAGGACCACGUAGCCAUGAACGCGUACGGUUGUGGGAGCAAUCGCCCGGAGAUGGAUUCUGAGACACGAAUCCAGACCCUACGGGGUACAGCAGGCGCGAAAACUUCACACUGCAUGCUUUUCCUAACUUGUAAUCGGUUAGGGAAUAAGGGCUGGGAAAGACCGGUGCCAGCCGCCGCGGUAAUACCGGCAGCUCAAGUGGUCGUCGCUUUUAUUGGGCCUAAAACGUUCCGUAGCCUGUUUGGUAAAUCUGUGGUUAAAUCAACCAGCUUAACUGGUUGAAUUCUGCAGAGACUGCCAGACUAGGGACCGGGAGAGGUGUGGGGUACUCUCGGGGUAGGGGUAAAAUCCUGUCAUCCUGGGAGGACCACCAGUUGCGAAGGCGCCACACUGGAACGGAUCCGACGGUCAGGGACGAAGCCUAGGGGCACGAACCGGAUUAGAUACCCGGGUAGUCCUAGGAGUAAACGCUGUGAACUUGGUGUCGGGGAUCCUACUUGGGUUCCCGGUGCCGGAGUGAAGAUGUUAAGUUCACUGCCUGGGGAGUACGGUCGCAAGGCUGAAA